AAGCAGACACAAUGGUAAGAAUGGUGUCUGUCCUGCUGUCUCUGCUGCUGCUUCUGGGUCCUGCUGUCCUCCAGGAGACCCGAGAUGGUCAUUACUCUCUGACCUAUCUCUACACUGGGCUGUCCAGGUCUGGCAAAGGCACCCACAGGCUGCAGGGCACUGUCUUCCUCAAUGGCCAUGCCUUCUUCCACUACAACAGUGAAGACAGGAAGGCUGAGCCCCUGGGACCAUGGAGACAUGCGGAAGGAGUAGAGGACUGGGAGAAGCAGAGCCAAGUUCAGAAGGCCAGGGAGGACAUCUUUAUGGAGACCCUGAACAACAUCAUGGAGUAUUACAACGACGGUAACGGUCAGUGAACAACAGACCGCGGGGGUGGAAGGUCUAACCCAAGAGGCAGCCCCCCAGGUGUGAGUGGCAAGGGGUCAGCAGGAUGGAAAUAGUCCCAAUCCCAGGGGAGGAACAGGAGACACAGCAGAAACACAGACAUGUCCGCAUCCCACCCCCCCCACAGCACAGUGUUGUCCCCUUCCCCAUCGAUUGCCCCAUCCUCAUCCCAGGUCUCAGGUCACACAGGAAGUGAUGGCAGAGUCACUUCCUAUCUAGGCACCUCUGACCUCUCACCUCCACUCCCCACCCAUCAGAGGCUGAUCUCCCCAUGAGAAGGCAUCAGACUCACCCCUGUCCAGGGAGGUUGCCUGGAGAAUGAGCCACUCUCAAAGUCACUCAGACCUGGGCUCACCUGGUGGCUCUGCCAGUCCUACCUGUUGACAGUGAAAUGUUCCCAAAAUAUCUGGUCGAAAUCUGCAAACAUUGGAGCACUGAGACCUAUCUCCAAACAAGUCUGUAAUAUUUAACUAUGUCUGUUCUAUGAAGGAUGUCACAGUCUGUCCUGAUCUCCCUUGCAGCUCCAUCACCUAGCACAGGGUACAGCCAAUAUUGGCUCAAUUGAAAUUUGUGGAAUCAACAGAGAAAAGCACCCAGCACACACCGUAGCCCAUGCUGGGGGCUCAGGAAGUGCUGCAUUCAAAACCACAGGCUGUUAGAGAUCCCUGCAGCCCUAAAGUUCCUCCUCACCAUAAGAUGCAGACCCAGGAAGGGCCACCUGCACUGUGGUCGGAGGAGCUGGUGGCAGAGCCCGUGCAGAGACGGUCCCCCUGCCCCCGGCCCAGCGUUCUUUCUCC